rnacentral:tRNA from 1 species
GGGGCCGUAGCUCAGCCAGGCAGAGCGGCGGGCUCCAGACCCGUAGGGCGGGGGUUCAAAUCCCUCCGGCCCCA